AGCAGCCGCGGUAAUUCCAGCUCCAAUAGCGUAUAUUAAAGUUGUUGCAGUUAAAAAGCUCGUAGUUGAAUUUCGGGGUUAGUAAGUUGGUCGUGCCACUGGUAUGCACUGGCUUUACUGAUUCCUCCCUCUUGUAGAGCCGUAAUGCCAUUAAUUUGGUGUUGCGGGGAAACAGGACUGUUACUUUGAAAAAAUUAGAGUGUUUAAAGCAGGCUAACGCCUGAAUACAUUAGCAUGGAAUAAUGAAAUAGGACGUCUGUCUUAUUUUGUUGGUUUCUAGGAUGGACGUAAUGAUUAAUAGGGAUAGUUGGGGGCAUUAGUAUUCAAUUGUCAGAGGUGAAAUUCUUGGAUUUAUUGAAGACUAACUACUGCGAAAGCAUUUGCCAAGGAUGUUUUCAUUAAUCAAGAAC
rnacentral:rRNA from 1 species